GAUGAACGCUGGCGGCGUGCCUAAUACAUGCAAGUCGAGCGAACAGACGAGGAGCUUGCUCCUCUGACGUUAGCGGCGGACGGGUGAGUAACACGUGGAUAACCUACCUAUAAGACUGGGAUAACUUCGGGAAACCGGAGCUAAUACCGGAUAAUAUAUUGAACCGCAUGGUUCAAUAGUGAAAGACGGUUUUGCUGUCACUUAUAGAUGGAUCCGCGCCGCAUUAGCUAGUUGGUAAGGUAACGGCUUACCAAGGCAACGAUGCGUAGCCGACCUGAGAGGGGGAUCGGCGACACUGGAACUGAGACACGGUCCAGACUCCUACGGGAGGCAGCAGUAGGGAAUCUUCCGCAAUGGGCGAAAGCCUGACGGAGCAACGCCGCGUGAGUGAUGAAGGUCUUCGGAUCGUAAAACUCUGUUAUUAGGGAAGAACAAAUGUGUAAGUAACUAUGCACGUCUUGACGGUACCUAAUCAGAAGGCCACGGCGAACUACGUG
rnacentral:rRNA from 1 species